AUACGUAGGGAGCAAGCGUUGUCCGGAAUUACUGGGCGUAAAGGGCGCGUAGGCGGGUAUUUAAGUCAGGUGUGCAAACUCCGAGCUCAACUUGGAGAUUGCACUUGCAACUGGGUUUCUUGAGAGUGCAAGAGGCGGAUGGCAUUCAUGGGGUAGCGGUGAAAUGCUUAGAUAUCAUGAAGAACUCCGAUUGCGAAGGCAGUCCGCUGGGGCACGUCUGACGCUGAUGCUCGAAGGUGCGGGAAUCAAACAGGAUUAGAUACCCUGGUAGUCCGCACGGUAAACGAUGAUUACCCGCUGUCGGCGGCAGACAGUCGGCGGCCAAGCGAAAGCGAUAAGUAAUCCACCUGGGGAGUACGCCGGCAACGGUGAAACUCAAAUGAAUUGGCGGGG
rnacentral:rRNA from 1 species